CCUACGGGAGGCAGCAGUAGGGAAUAUUGCUCAAUGGGGGAAACCCUGAAGCAGCAACGCCGCGUGGAGGAUGAAGGUUUUCGGAUUGUAAACUUCUUUUGUUAGAGAAGAUAAUGACGGUAUCUAACGAAUAAGCACCGGCUAACUCCGUGCCAGCAGCCGCGGUAAUACGGAGGGUGCAAGCGUUACUCGGAAUCACUGGGCGUAAAGAGCGCGUAGGCGGGUUAGCAAGUCAGAUGUGAAAUCCUAUGGCUUAACCAUAGAACUGCAUUUGAAACUGUUAUUCUAGAGUAUGGGAGAGGUAGGUGGAAUUCGUGGUGUAGCGGUAAAAUCCGUAGAGAUCAAGAGGAAUACUCAUUGCGAAGGCGACCUGCUAGAACAUAACUGACGCUGAUGCUCGAAAGCGUGGGUAGCAAACAGGAUUAGAUACCCCAGUAGUC
rnacentral:rRNA from 1 species